CGAGUGCUUGCACUCAAUUGGAAAGAGGAGUGGCGGACGGGUGAGUAACACGUGGGUAACCUACCCAUCAGAGGGGGAUAACACUUGGAAACAGGUGCUAAUACCGCAUAACAGUUUAUGCCGCAUGGCAUAAGAGUGAAAGGCGCUUUCGGGUGUCGCUGAUGGAUGGACCCGCGGUGCAUUAGCUAGUUGGUGAGGUAACGGCUCACCAAGGCCACGAUGCAUAGCCGACCUGAGAGGGUGAUCGGCCACACUGGGACUGAGACACGGCCCAGACUCCUACGGGAGGCAGCAGUAGGGAAUCUUCGGCAAUGGACGAAAGUCUGACCGAGCAACGCCGCGUGAGUGAAGAAGGUUUUCGGAUCGUAAAACUCUGUUGUUAGAGAAGAACAAGGACGUUAGUAACUGAACGUCCCCUGACGGUAUCUAACCAGAAAGCCACGGCUAACUACGUGCCAGCAGCCGCGGUAAUACGUAGGUGGCAAGCGUUGUCCGGAUUUAUUGGGCGUAAAGCGAGCGCAGGCGGUUUCUUAAGUCUGAUGUGAAAGCCCCCGGCUCAACCGGGGAGGGUCAUUGGAAACUGGGAGACUUGAGUGCAGAAGAGGAGAGUGGAAUUCCAUGGGUUAA
rnacentral:rRNA from 1 species